rnacentral:rRNA from 1 species
AGAAUCAACGCUGGCGGCGUGCCUAACACAUGCAAGUCGAACGAGAAAGGGGAGCAAUCCCUGAGUACAGUGGCGACCGGGUGAGUAACACGUGACUACCUACCCUUGAGUGGGGGAUAACCUCGGGAAACCGAGGCUAAUACCGCAUAAUAUCGCAAGAUCAAAGGAGAAAUCCGCUUUUGGAGGGGGUCGCGGCUGAUUAGCUAGUUGGUAGGGUAAUGGCCUACCAAGGCGAAGAUCGGUAUCCGGCCUGAGAGGGCGCACGGACACACUGGAACUGAAACACGGUCCAGACUCCUACGGGAGGCAGCAGUGGGGAAUUUGCGCAAUGGGGGAAACCCUGACGCAGCAACGCCGCGUGGAGGAUGAAGCUCCUUGGAGUGUAAACUCCUUUCGACCGGGAAAAUAAUGAUGGUACCGGUGGAAGAAGCACCGGCUAACUCUGCGCCAGCAGCCG